rnacentral:rRNA from 1 species
GACAGAGGUCCCGAGCGUUAGGCGGAAUCACUGGGCUUAAAGCGUGUGUAGGCGGAUGCCUAAGUACCUUGUGAAAUCCCACGGCUCACCCGUGGAACUGCUUGGUAUACUGGGUGUCUUGAGCCACUUAGGGGCUACCGGAACAAAUGGUGGAGCGGUGAAAUGCGUAGAUAUCAUUUGGAACGCCAAUGGUGAAAACAGGUAGCUGGGAGUGUGCUGACGCUGAGACACGAAAGCCAGGGGAGCAAACGAG